AUUGAACGCUGGCGGCAUGCUUUACACAUGCCAGUCGAACGGCAGCGCGGGCUUCGGCCUGGCGGCGAGUGGCGAACGGGUGAGUAAUGCAUCGGAACGUGCCCAGUAGUGGGGGAUAGCCCGGCGAAAGCCGGAUUAAUACCGCAUACGACCUGAGGGUGAAAGCGGGGGACCGAAAGGCCUCGCGCUAUUGGAGCGGCCGAUGUCGGAUUAGCUAGUUGGUGGGGUAAAGGCUUACCAAGGCGACGAUCCGUAGCUGGUCUGAGAGGACGACCAGCCACACUGGGACUGAGACACGGCCCAGACUCCUACGGGAGGCAGCAGUGGGGAAUGUUGGACAAUGGGGGCAACCCUGAUCCAGCCAUGCCGCGUGCGGGAAGAAGGCCUUCGGGUUGUAAACCGCUUUUGUCCGGGAAGAAAUCCUCUGGGCUAAUACCCCGGGGGUAUGACGGUACCGGAAGAAUAAGCACCGGCUAACUACGUG
rnacentral:rRNA from 1 species